UCCCGAAGUGCUGAGGCCGUUCAGGGUGGCUUCCUAGUUCCCUGUUCCCUGUCCUGUAAUUAAGCUUUGGGACAUUGAAGUACAGGUUAGGGAGGAUGACUGGGUAGUAGAAAACACUGCCAGGUACUUCUUGGCCCACAGCA
ensembl:snoRNA